UUCUGGCUCAGGAUGAACGCUGGCGGCGUGCAUAACACAUUCAAGUCGAACGAAGGACAGAGCUUGCUCUGUACUUAGUGGCGGACGGGUGAGUAACGCGUGAGUAAUCUGCCUCUGUGUGCGGGAUAACAGCUGGAAACGGCUGCUAAUACCGCAUGAUGCAUCGAGACCGCAUGGUCAUGAUGCCAAAGAUUUAUUGCACAGAGAUGAACUUGCGUCCGAUUAGAUAGUUGGCGGGGUAAAGGCCCACCAAGUCUACGAUCGGUAACCGGACUGAGAGGUUGAACGGCCACAUUGGAACUGAGAUACGGUCCAGACUCCUACGGGAGGCAGCAGUGGGGAAUUUUGGGCAAUGGGCGAAAGCCUGAACCCCCAGCGACGCCGCGUGAAGGAAGAAGAUCUUCGGAUUGUAAACUUCUGUCAACAGGGAAGAAACAAAUGACGGUACCUGUGGAGGAAGCCACGGCUAACUACGUGCCAGCAGCAGC
rnacentral:rRNA from 1 species